AUUUUUUGUUGCAGUUUGGCCAGGGCCGGGUUUGAACCCGCCACCCUCGGUAUAUAGCGCCCUACCGACUGAGCCACAGGCGCCGCCUUCUUGUCUUGAGAAAAGGUCACUUGAGGAUUUCUUGAGUCGAGUCCCAGUUUGAGAAGACCGAUGGAGUCAUAGAUGCAGAAAAUUGAGAAUUUUCGUCAGUGAGCAAAGCAAAGAAACCUACUCCAUUCCGUCGCGGUCAAGGUUUUAGAGAACCCAGGAUAAGGGAAGGUAGAGUCUUGUUCUAUCACCCAGGCUGCUGCAGUGGUGUGAUCAUAGCUCACCGUGACCUCAUAUUCCUAGGUGCAAGCGAUCAUUCUGCCCCACUCUGCUGUGUAGCUGGGAAUACAGGUUCGGAGCACCAACUGAGUAGUUACCUGUUGAGACAACUUUGAGAGCUGAGUUUGAAUAAAAUGAGUUAUGCAUGGAGCCGCAGGCACCAGCCCAAGGAUGACAAGUAUAGGUAUGAGGAAAGCAAUUUUAGAUUCACAGCAAAACCAAGAUGAAUCUACAGAGAUUACCUACAUGUCCACCCCCCUACCUCAAGAUGCACAGCCUCCCCCAUCAUCAAGAUCCCCUACUAGAGAGGUACAUUGCUACGAUGACGAAUUUACAAUGAAACGUUAUCACCCAAAGUCAGUAGCUUCCAUCAGGGUUCACUGGUGAAGCUGUAUAUGCCAUGUGUUUGGGCAAAUGUAUAAAGAUGCGUACAUACCAUUGUAGUAUGGGACAGAGUAGUUUCACUGCUCUAAAAAAUCCUGUGUGCACUGUUUUAUUCAGCCCUGCUGUUCUCUCACCUGAUCCCUGGCGCUUCAUGUCUCCUUAGUCCCACCUUUUCCACAAUGUCAUCUUACAGGAAUCAUACAGCAUACAGCCUCUCCUGACUGCCUUCUUUCACUUAGUGAUGCCCAUUUAAGUUUCUUCUACAUCUUUUCAUGGCUUGAUAGCC